UGGUCUUUGUUUCAGAUAUUUGAUUUAUUAAAAUCUGCUACAAUUUUAAAGAGAAACAAGAAGAAAAAGAUUUUGGUUUAUUUAUUGCAAUUAUUGAAAUCUACUUCAAUUUUAAAGAGAAACAAGAAGGAAAAGAUGUCCAGGAGUUUUAUCAGUUGUGAGAUCCCGAUGGGUCAAUUUUAAUUUCUUAUACUUCAUCUCCUCCGUUUUUUUUUUUGAAAUAUAUUUUGCUUGGUGAGGGGCACUGAAAAAAAUGGCCGGAUCUGAA